rnacentral:lncRNA from 1 species
AAAGGUAAAAAUCUUCAUCCCUAUUGACUAAAGGCCAUACCUAAUAGACAUUUAGUAGGCUAUUUGUGACCAUAACAAGAAUUUUGGCAAAUUUAGAAGGAGCAUUUGAGAAUAAAAAGUAAGGGUUGUAAGGUUUAGGAUUUGGACUACAAUUUUUGAACAAAUUUUAGAAGAUUUAGAAUUAAAGUGAUGAAAUUUUAGGUGUUUGAAGUUAAGGUAUCUUUUUAAGAUAUGUUAUUACUAUUUUGAGAAUAUGAAGAGCUUUAUAAUAGAUUAUAGAGAUCGAAAGAUGCAAUUGUAAGGAUGAUUUUAAGAUCUACAUUUUUUGUCAAAUAAUUUUUAUAUUUGAAGUUUGUAUGAAGAAGUAAUAGAGUAUUGAAGAUAAUACAUGUAAUUCAAAGGUAG